UAGUGUGCUAUUAAUGUUAAACUCAAUUUUAAUAAAACCUUGUAGACAUAGUUACCCGAUUUUAAUGUUUGACGAUGAGGUAAGAUUUUCAUAGACUCUUUUUAACUCUUUAUAAUUUUUGUUAAAGAACAGGUUAAUGCUUUAAGAGAAACCCGUUGUGCUUUUAUUUUAAUGCCUAAUUUACAGAAAAGCUGGAUGACACCCCUUCAAUCUUUAGCCAAAAUGUUUACAUACAGAAUUUCCUUUACAAUUAACCUUUCGAAACUUGCUUAAACCUUCAAAAACAAUUCUUUAAACUUUUAACAUAGGUUAAAAAUCCACGUUCUUAUGCCUACCAAAAUACACUUUUUACCAAAAGUGUAUUUUAUUUUCCUUAUGCACCCCUUGCACAUAAACUGUCUCUUUAAUAGUUUUAAAUACAUGUUGCACUGUUAAUUUUUAGCAACCUUUACCUUUGUUGAGAACCCUGGUAAGUGGGAUUUUAAUGAUGUGCUAGGUGUAGAGCCUAGGACCUAGACAGAAAUGCAGAUAAGGUCUGGCUUAGCCCAGCAUUUAACUCCAUGUGUCCUAGAUUUUCCCUAGCUGCAAAGCAGGCAAAUUGUACAGCCAAGAGUUCUAGCGACAUUUCAUAAAGCACUCGGGAGGCCUACUUACUUUUAAAUUAUACAUUUCUUGCCUAAAUUCCAGGUUACUGGGUGUUCUGACCCCAGACUCGACGUAGGGGUUAUGGGGGUGUAGGUGUGCCGACCUCGUCCCAGACUAUUGGGCAUUGGUGGCGAGUCCGCGGACACUGCGCAUGCGCGAGUCGGAAGCUGCCGCCCGCGGCGGAAGGGGCCGACCCGGGAGACUGAGGACUUGGAUUGCUUAAGGACACCAGGCGGGCGCGACGACCUUCAGCCUCUCUCUUUGCAGCUUUGGCCCGUUCCUUUAACUUUUGUUCACUUGGGGCCGUUUGGCUUUUCCAUGUGUCUUGGGCCCGCCCACUGCAGCCGCCAUCUUGGAAACGGCCGCUGGCGCCUAGCUGAGCUGGUAGGACUUCCGGGUCGGGCCUCCAGUUGCCCGGGUAACGGGAGCAAAGUCUCGCUGAAUUGUGUUUCAGAAAGAAGAAACGACAGUUUUAGCAUGCAGAAAGGAAAAGGGAGAACAAGCCGGAUCAGAAGACGAAAACUCUGCAGAAGUUCUGAACCAAGAGGAGUGAAUGAGAGCCACAAGUCUGAAUUUAUAGAGCUAAGGAAGUGGCUGAAAGCUAGGAAGUUUCAAGAUUCAAACUUAGCGCCUGCUUGUUUUCCAGGUACAGGAAGAGGGCUGAUGAGCCAAACAUCCUUGCAGGAGGGACAGAUGAUUAUUUCGUUGCCUGAGAGUUGCCUGCUCACCACGGACACAGUGAUUCGAAGCUACUUAGGGGCAUACAUUACUAAGUGGAAGCCGCCUCCGUCUCCUCUGCUGGCGCUGUGUACCUUUUUAGUUUCAGAGAAGCAUGCUGGGGACCGAUCUCUUUGGAAGCCUUACCUGGAGAUUUUACCCAAGGCCUAUACCUGCCCUGUUUGUUUGGAGCCGGAAGUGGUGAACCUUCUUCCCAAAUCUUUAAAAGCAAAGGCUGAAGAGCAGAGAGCCCAUGUGCAGGAGUUCUUUGCUUCCUCCAGAGACUUUUUCUCUUCUCUGCAGCCUCUGUUUGUGGAGGCUGUUGACAGCAUCUUCAGCUACAGUGCCCUGCUGUGGGCUUGGUGCACCGUCAACACCAGAGCCGUGUACCUGAGGCCCAGGCAGCGGGAAUGCCUUUCUGCAGAGCCGGACACCUGUGCGCUCGCUCCAUACCUGGACCUGCUGAAUCAUAGCCCACGUGUCCAGGUAAAAGCAGCAUUUAAUGAAGAAACUCACUCUUACGAAAUUAGAACGACUUCACGCUGGAGAAAGCAUGAAGAGGUAUUCAUCUGUUACGGCCCUCACGAUAAUCAGCGGCUGUUCCUUGAAUAUGGAUUUGUUUCCGUCCAUAAUCCUUAUGCUUGUGUUUAUGUCUCAAGAGAAAUACUUGUUAAAUAUCUUCCAUCAAGAGAUAAACAGAUGGACAAAAAGAUUUCUAUUCUAAAGGAUCAUGGCUAUAUAGAAAAUUUGACAUUCGGAUGGGAUGGACCAUCUUGGAGGCUACUCACAGCCCUUAAGUUGUUAUGUCUGGAAGCUGAAAAAUUUACAUGCUGGAAAAAAGUACUUCUUGGGGAAGUAAUUUCAGAUACGAAUGAGAAGACAAGUUUGGACAUAGCCCAGAAAAUAUGCUAUUAUUUCAUGGAAGAGACUAAUGCUAUGCUUCAAAAGGUGUCGCAUAUGAAGGAUGAAAAAGAGGCCCUAAUAAAUCAACUAACUUUGGUGGAAUCCUUGUGGACGGAAGAGCUAAAGAUUCUCAGGGCAUCUGCCAAGACCCUGCACAGUUUGCAAACAGCUUUUACCUGAUUUCACCAAAGUGCGUUUGGUCACCUCCUCUGGUGGGGUGUUAGUCACACAUUUUAGACUAAGAAACAGAAGUUAAUUUGAAGAGCGUCAUCAUGGCCUGGGGCGGUGGCCGCCCCCAGGACGUGCAGGAUUUCUGCAGGGGGCAGCACAGGUUCUGGGACUGUGAGGCUGUGAGUGAAGGUGGACAAGCUGUCUGGAUAGCACGUCUAAUGCUCUUCCGAAUAAAGUGCUGAACUGUGAGGAGAGAGGCGGACUGCCAGGGAGCCAGGAGCCAGCUGCGUCCGUGUGUGGUCUGUCACCACGGGGCCUGCUUCUUAUCUGACACAGCAGCUCUCAGAGUCUAGCGGUUGUGCUUUUAAGAUGCUCUGAUACCGUUGGGUUAAGGGGCAGGUUGGCGGUGGGUGGCUUUGGGUGGUGGGUGUGGGGAAGUGUGAGGUAGUCCUGGGUUCCCGCCAGGGUGGCCCAGCCGCCAGCCGUUCCCUGUGUGACUGCACUGAGGUGGGCGUUGAAGAGUCCCCUAGGGGACACAGGGCUUCCAAGAGGAGGGAAUGUCCUCUAAACAUGCUCCUGGCCUCCCAAGGCGGCGCUUGUCUAAUUAUUCACUUGGGAAGAAUGACUGGCUUAGCCAGCGGCCCUUUCUGCUUUGUUCUGGUGGCUGUCCUGGGCAGGCCUUUCAACCUGGGGAGCUGGCCCAUCCGCGGUGGGCCUGUCUGCUUGAUUCUGGGGUUCAGUGUAGGUCAGCUGAUUGCAAACCACGGUGGUGGUUUGGCCUCUGUUCUUACUCUUGAGUUUUGAUCCUGCUCAGACCCUGGGUGGGGAAAAGGGGCGCUUCCUGCACAGCUCUCAGCUGCCUGUGGCCUCGGGACUGCCUGCAUAAGUUAACGCAGGGGCUGCUGGUCCUGUUCAGGCCCAUGCCGGAGACGCUGCGUAGACAGUGUUGCCCAGGGUCCUAUUUACCCUCCCAGGGUUCAUUCUUCCCAAGAACUGAAAUUCCUUUCUCACUGGAGCCCAGCAAAACCAAAUGAACGGGGCCUGCUGGCCUCAGAAGGCAGGCAGAGUUUAAAAUAAAACUUUCUCAUGAUUUCUUGAACAUCUUUCCCUGUUUGUAUAUACAGUUUGUGUUUAUUUUUCAAUAGUUGCAGUAUAUUUCUUUUUUUUAAUAUUCAGUAUAAUGCAGUGUAUUUCAUCAUACAAUGUAUGGAGAGUGGGCAGACUCUUCUGUGGAGGGCCCGGUAGUGACCAUUUGAAGCUUUCUGGACCUGUGGCCUUAGUCCCAGCGAUUCUGCAGAGCAGCUAUCAGCAGCAUGUCAACCACUUGCAAGGCUGGGCUCCCGGGAAACUAUUGACAGUGACAGGUGGUGGGCCGUAAGUUUCCUGACCCCUGUGCUGUGCCAGAAUUUCUUUCUCCUCUUUCCUGUGAAUGCACCUAAAUAGGUUAAUUCCUUUACACCUUUCAAAAUGGACAGCCCCUUGAACAUUAAAAACUUUGCAGACCCUA